GCCGAGCCUAGUAACGUGGGCUUGUAACUAAGUAGGGCAUUAAAGUGGUUGGUUGUUUGAGAAGCCUUGUUAGAUGAGGUGUGGCAAUCUUGGACUGUUCACCUUGGUGAAGUCGCACAAAGCACGCCCCUUGCCCUCGGGUUAGUGGGGGGCAGCGAACCCCAACUUGAUAUUAGAUUGGGGUGUUAAUACUACACCUCACGGGUCAAGAGCCAUCACACCCCAGCGUGCUGCCUAGCUUGGCCUCUCAUCACACAAUCACUUUU
rnacentral:sRNA from 1 species